rnacentral:rRNA from 1 species
UACGAAGGGGGCUAGCGUUGCUCGGAAUGACUGGGCGUAAAGGGCGCGUAGGCGGCCUUCUAAGUCAGACGUGAAAUCCCCAGGCUUAACUUGGGAACUGCGUCUGAUACUGGGAGGCUUGAGUGCGGGAGAGGGAUGUGGAAUUCCAGGUGUAGCGGUGAAAUGCGUAGAUAUCUGGAGGAACACCGGUGGCGAAGGCGGCAUCCUGGACCGACACUGACGCUGAGGCGCGAAGGCUAGGGGAGCGAACGGG